rnacentral:rRNA from 1 species
AGCGAACGCUGGCGGCAGGCCUAACACAUGCAAGUCGAACGAAGCCUCCGGGCUUAGUGGCGGACGGGUGAGUAACACGUGGGAACGUACCUUUUGGUUCGGAACAACUCAGGGAAACUUGAGCUAAUACCGGAUGAGCCCUUAGGGGGAAAGAUUUAUCGCCGAAAGAGCGGCCCGCGUUAGAUUAGCUAGUUGGUGGGGUAAAGGCUCACCAAGGCAACGAUCUAUAGCUGGUCUGAGAGGAUGAUCAGCCACACUGGGACUGAGACACGGCCCAGACUCCUACGGGAGGCAGCAGUGGGGAAUCUUGCGCAAUGGGCGAAAGCCUGACGCAGCCAUGCCGCGUGAAUGAUGAAGGUCUUAGGAUUGUAAAAUUCUUUUACCAGGGACGAUAAUGACGGUACCUGGAGAAAAAGCCCCGGCUAACUUCGUGCCAGCCGCCGCGGUAAAAC